AUUGAACGCUGGCGGCAGGCCUAACACAUGCAAGUCGAGCGAGCGUCGGACGGGUGAGUAAUGUAUGGGGACUGCCCGAUAGAUGGGGAUAACUAUUGUAAACGGUAUCUAAUACCGCAUACUAUCGGAUAACCCAUAUGGGAUUGUCUAGUAGGUGAGGUAAUGGCUCACCUAGGCGACGAUCCCUAGCUGUUCUGAGAGGAGGAUCAGCCACACUGGGACUGAGACACGGCCCAGACUCCUACGGAGGCAGCAGUGGGGAAUAUUGCACAAUGGGCGCAAGCCUGAUGCAGCCAUGCCGCGUGUAUGAAGAAGGCCCUAGGGUUGUAAAGUACUUUCAGUCGGGAGGCGUUACCGACAGAAGAAGCACCGGCUAACUCCGUGCCAGCAGCCGCGGUAAUUC
rnacentral:rRNA from 1 species